UCGAGCGGUAGGCCCUUCGGGGUACACGAGCGGCGGACGGCUGAGUAACGCGUGGGAACAUGCCCCAAAGUGAGGGAUAAGCUCGAGAAAUCGAGUCUAAUACCGCAUAUGAUCUUCGGAUUAAAGGAUUUAUCCGCUUUGGGAGUGGCCCGCGUACGAUUAGGUAGUUGGUGAGGUAAAGGCUCACCAAGCCCACGAUCGUUAACUGGUCUGAGAGGAUGAUCAGUCAGACUGGAACUGAGAUACGGUCCAGACUCCUACGGGAGGCAGCAGUGAGGAAUCUUCCACAAUGGGCGAAAGCCUGAUGGAGCGACGCCGCGUGCAGGAUGAAGGCCUUCGGGUUGUAAACUGCUUUUAUAAGUGAAGAAUAUGACGGUAACUUAUGAAUAAGCACCGGCUAACUACGUGCCAGCAGCCGCGGUCAUACGUAGGGUGCAAGCAUUAUCCGGAGUGACUGGGCGUAAAGAGUUGCGUAGGUGGACAAGUAAGCGAAUAGUGAAAUUUGACGGCUCAACCGUACAAACUAUUAUUCGAACUGCUUGUCUCGAGAAUGGUAGAGGUAACUGGAAUUUCUUGUGUAGGAGUGAAAUCCGUAGAUAUAAGAAGGAACACCAAUGGCGUAGGCAGGUUACUGGACCAUUUCUGACACUGAGGCACGAAAGCGUGGGGAGCGAACCGGAUUAGAUACCCGGGUAGUCCACGCCGUANACGAUGGAUACUAGCUGUUGGAGNUAUCGACCCCUUCAGUAGCGAAGCUAACGCGUUAAGUAUCCCGCCUGUGGAGUACGGUCGCAAGACUAAAACAUAAAGGAAUUGA
rnacentral:rRNA from 1 species